UGGGGAAUAUUGGACAAUGGGGGCAACCCUGAUCCAGCCAUGCCGCGUGUGUGAAGAAGGCCUUCGGGUUGUAAAGCACUUUCAGCGGGGAGGAAGGCAUCAUGGCUAAUAUCCAUGGUGAUUGACGUUACCCGCAGAAGAAGCACCGGCUAACUCCGUGCCAGCAGCCGCGGUAAUACGGAGGGUGCAAGCGUUUAUCGGAAUUACUGGGCGUAAAGCGCGCGUAGGCGGCUUGUUAAGUCGGAUGUGAAAUCCCCGGGCUCAACCUGGGAAUUGCAUCCGAUACUGACGAGCUGGAGUGCGAUAGAGGGGGGUAGAAUUCCUAGUGUAGCGGUGAAAUGCGUAGAUAUUAGGAGGAAUACCGGUGGCGAAGGCGGCCCCCUGGAUCGACACUGACGCU
rnacentral:rRNA from 1 species